AAUUACAUAGUUGACUUACCAUAAUAAACUAUUGUCUAUAUCUUAUAUAAAAAAAAUCAGAUCAUCCAUGGACGUAUGUUCUUUCUCCCAAAUUAAUCUAAUAUACUAUUCUCUCAUAUCAGCUCUAAUUUGAGCAUCGAAGGGUCCUUACCGGGUUUAUACCCAGUGGACUUCUGACCCAUUUAUUUUUUGUUUUGCAGAUCCAUACCCACAAAAAAUUUUCAUGGACCACAACAUUAUGUAUUCUGAGCAAUAAGGGCCGGAUUGAUUUAAACUAUUGCAUAGUUCUAUUUUCACUUUGCACAAUUCAAGGUGACAAGAGCAAGCUUUAUGUCCAAACAAAGACACAAACCAUAGAAGAUGAGAUUAGCUGUGAAAAUUCAAAAAAAUCUAUCUCUGCUGCAUUAUCAUGUAUUAAUAGUUCAGGGCCGGGCAUCAAAAGGUAAACCAAUAACUAUAUCCUAUUGAUCAGGAAUGGGAAGAACCAUCACUGCUAAAAAAAUUAUAGGAAAGUAACAGUUUAGUGUGACUUAUAUAUGUAAACCACAGCAGUAAGGUUACUAAUUCCUAACAGUUAUGAUCAAAUCCAUAAAAAAUGUUUCAAUA
rnacentral:misc_RNA from 1 species